rnacentral:tRNA from 1 species
UCUAAUAUGGCAGAUUUAAGUGUAAUGGAUUUAAAUUCCAUUUAUAAUAUUAUAUAUAUUUAUUAGAU